GAUGAACGCUGGCGGCGUGCCUAAUACAUGCAAGUCGAGCGAAUGAAGAGGAGCUUGCUCCUCUGAUUUAGCGGCGGACGGGUGAGUAACACGUGGGUAAUCUGCCUGUAAGACGGGGAUAACUCCGGGAAACCAGGGCUAAUACCGGAUAAUAAAAGGAAACGCAUGUUUCUUUUUUGAAAGUUGGUUUCGGCUAACACUUACAGAUGAGCCCGCGGCGCAUUAGCUAGUUGGUGCGGUAACGGCUCACCAAGGCGACGAUGCGUAGCCGACCUGAGAGGGUGAUCGGCCACACUGGGACUGAGACACGGCCCAGACUCCUACGGGAGGCAGCAGUAGGGAAUCUUCGGCAAUGGGCGAAAGCCUGACCGAGCAACGCCGCGUGAGCGAUGAAGGCCUUCGGGUCGUAAAGCUCUGUUGUUAGGGAAGAACACGUACGAGAGUAACUGCUCGUACCUUGACGGUACCUAACCAGAAAGCCACGGCUAACUACGUGCCAGCCGCCGCGGUAA
rnacentral:rRNA from 1 species